GUUUAGGUGGUGGAAUUGGUAGACACGCUGUCUUCAGGCGGCAGUGCCCAAAGCAUAGGGGUUCGAGUCCCCUCCUAAACACCA
rnacentral:tRNA from 1 species